UCGAGCGGAUGAAGGGAGCUUGCUCCUGGAUUCAGCGGCGGACGGGUGAGUAAUGCCUAGGAAUCUGCCUGGUAGUGGGGGAUAACGUCCGGAAACGGGCGCUAAUACCGCAUACGUCCUGAGGGAGAAAGUGGGGGAUCUUCGGACCUCACGCUAUCAGAUGAGCCUAGGUCGGAUUAGCUAGUUGGUGGGGUAAAGGCCUACCAAGGCGACGAUCCGUAACUGGUCUGAGAGGAUGAUCAGUCACACUGGAACUGAGACACGGUCCAGACUCCUACGGGAGGCAGCAGUGGGGAAUAUUGGACAAUGGGCGAAAGCCUGAUCCAGCCAUGCCGCGUGUGUGAAGAAGGUCUUCGGAUUGUAAAGCACUUUAAGUUGGGAGGAAGGGCAGUAAGUUAAUACCUUGCUGUUUUGACGUUACCAACAGAAUAAGCACCGGCUAACUUCGUGCCAGCAGCCGCGGUAAUACGAAGGGUGCAAGCGUUAAUCGGAAUUACUGGGCGUAAAGCGCGCGUAGGUGGUUCAGCAAGUUGGAUGUGAAAUCCCCGGGCUCAACCUGGGAACUGCAUCCAAAACUACUGAGCUAGAGUACGGUAGAGGGUGGUGGAAUUUCCUGUGUAGCGGUGAAAUGCGUAGAUAUAGGAAGGAACACCAGUGGCGAAGGCGACCACCUGGACUGAUACUGACACUGAGGUGCGAAAGCGUGGGGAGCAAACAGGAUUAGACACCCUGGUAGUCCACGCCGUAAACGAUGUCGACUAGCCGUUGGGAUCCUUGAGAUCUUAGUGGCGCAGCUAACGCGAU
rnacentral:rRNA from 1 species